AAUAUUGGACAAUGGGCGAAAGCCUGAUCCAGCCAUGCCGCGUGUGUGAAGAAGGUCUGCGGAUGGUAAAGCACUGUAAGUGGGGAGGAAGGGGUUGAAGCUAAUACCUUCAAUCUUUGACGUUACCAACAGAAGAAGCACCGGCUAACUCUGUGCCAGCAGCCGCGGUAAUACAGAGGGGGGAAGCGUUAAUCGGAAUUACUGGGGGUGAAACGCGCGUAGGUGGUUCAGUAAGAUGGAAGUGAAAUCCCCGGGCUUAACCUGGGAACUGCUUUCAUAACUGCGGAGCUAGAGUACGGUAGAGAGUAGUGGAAUUUCCUGUGUGGCGGUGAAAUGCGUAGAUAUAGGAAGGAACACCAGUGGCGAAGGCGACUACCUGGACUGAUACUGACACUGAGGUGCGAAAGCGUGGGGAGCAAACAGG
rnacentral:rRNA from 1 species